AACAUGGGGUGACUUCGGGCAAUUUAUUUGAAUCCAAGAGCCAUAGAUAUGCCCAACAGCAAGGCAUUAACAAUUUGAAUUUUUUUCUGCUGUGCUGAUAUGCCAUUUGAUUUUUGUGACAUGACUUUUUUGAUAUGUUUAUAUCAUAGAGAAAAAUUAAUUUUCCAUAUUUAAACUACAUGUGGUAAAAAAUAGCAAAAUGUAGUUUGUAUAUCUUGUAAAUAGUAAUUUUUUUGACAUAAUUAUUAUUAGCUAGGUAUCAUUACUAUGGGAUUGGCAUCAAAGAGAGCAGUGCAUAUUACCACUCCGUUUAUUCUGGAAAGGGCUUGACAAGGUUUUCUGGAAGCAAGCUAAAGAAUGAGGGUGGCUUCACUCGUAAAUAUUCGCUUAGCUCAAAAACUGGAACACUUCUUCCAGAAUUCCCCAGCGCUCAACACCUUGUAUACCAAGGAUGCAUUUCUAAGGACAAGGUUGAUACGCUCAUAAUGAUGUACAAAACUCACUGCCAGUGUAUCCUGGACAAUGCAAUUAAUGGAAACUUUGAAGAGAUCCAGCAUUUUUUAUUACACUUUUGGCAAGGAAUGCCUGACCAUCUCCUUCCCCUGCUCGAAAAUCCUGUUAUCAUUGAUAUUUUCUGUGUUUGUGACUCAAUUCUUUAUAAGGUUCUUACAGAUGUACUCAUUCCUGCAACAAUGCAAGAAAUGCCUGAAAGGUAUGUUCAGUUAAUAAAACAUGA
rnacentral:sRNA from 1 species